AGCGAACGCUGGCGGCAGGCCUAAUACAUGCAAGUCGAACGGAUCCUUCGGGAUUAGUGGCGGACGGGUGAGUAACACGUGGGAACGUGCCCUUUGGUUCGGAACAACUCAGGGAAACUUGAGCUAAUACCGGAUAAGCCCUUCGGGGAAGGAUUAUCGCCAUUGGAGCGGCCCGCGUCUGAUUAGCUAGUUGGUGGGGUAAAGGCCUACCAAGGCGACGAUCAGUAGCUGGUCUGAGAGGAUGAUCAGCCACACUGGGACUGAGACACCGGCCCCGACUCCUACGGGAGGCAGCAGCAAGGAAUUUUCCGCAAUGGGGGCAACCCUGACGGAGCAACGCCGCGUGACGGAUGACGCCUCUUGGGGUGUAAACGUC
rnacentral:rRNA from 1 species